AGUGAACGCUGGCGGCAGGCCUAACACAUGCAAGUCGAACGGCAGCACGGCAGUAGCAAUACUGUGGGUGGCGAGUGGCGGACGGGUGAGGAAUACAUCGGGAUCUACCCUGUUGUGGGGGAUAACGUAGGGAAACUUACGCUAAUACCGCAUAAGAACUGAGGUUGAAAGCGGCGGACCGCAAGGCGUCGCGCGAUUGGAUGAACCGAUGUCCGAUUAGCUAGUUGGCGGGGUAAAGGGCCCACCAAGGCGACGAUCGGUAGCUGGUCUGAGAGGACGACCAGCCACACUGGAACUGAGACACGGUCCAGACUCCUACGGGAGGCAGCAGUGGGGAAUAUUGGACAAUGGGCGCAAGCCUGAUCCAGCCAUGCCGCGUGGGUGAAGAAGGCC
rnacentral:rRNA from 1 species